rnacentral:rRNA from 1 species
AUUGAACGCUGGCGGCAGGCCUAACACAUGCAAGUCGAACGAGUGGCGGACGGGUGAGUAAUGUCUGGGAAACUGCCUUAUGGAGGGGGAUAACUACUGGAAACGGUAGCUAAUACCGCAUACCAUCAGAUGUGCCCAGAUGGGAUUAGCUAGUUGGUGGGGUAAAGGCUCACCAAGGCGACGAUCCCUAGCUGGUCUGAGAGGAUGACCAGCCACACUGGAACUGAGACACGGUCCAGACUCCUACGGGAGGCAGGAGUGGGGAAUAUUGCACAAUGGGGGCAAGCCUGAGGCAGCCAUGCCGCGUGAAUGAAGAAGGCCUUCGGGUUGUAAAGUACUUUCGGUGGGGAGGCGUUACCCGCAGAAGAAGCACCGGCUAACUCCGUGCCAGCCGCCGCGGUAAUAC